UACGAAGGGGGCUAGCGUUGCUCGGAAUUACUGGGCGUAAAGGGCGCGUAGGCGGGUUGCUAAGUUAGAGGUGAAAUCCCUGGGCUCAACCCAGGAAGUGCACUCGAAACUGGCAGGCUUGAGUACUGAAGAGGGUCGCGGAAUUCCCGGUGUAAAGGUGAAAUUCGUAGAUAUCGGGAGGAACACCAGUGGCGAAGGCGGCGACCUGGGCAGAUACUGACACUGAGGUGCGAAAGCGUGGGGAGCAAACAGG
rnacentral:rRNA from 1 species